AUUGAACGCUGGUGGCAGGCCUAACCCAUGCAAGUCGAACGAGUGGCGGACGGGUGAGUAAUGUCUGGGAAACUGCCCGAUGGAGGGGGAUAACUACUGGAAACGGUAGCUAAUACCGCAUACCAUCGGAUGUGCCCAGAUGGGAUUAGCUAGUAGGUGGGGUAAUAGCUCACCUGGGCGACGAUCCCUAGCUGGUCGGAGAGGAUGACCAGCACAACUGGAACUGAGACACGGUCCAGACUCCUACGGGAGGCAGCAGGUGGGAAUAUUGCACAAUGGGCGCAAGCCUGAUGCAGCCAUGCCGCGUGUAUGAAGAAGGCCUUCGGGUUGUAAAGUACUUUCAGCGGGGAGGCGUUACCCGCAGAAGAAGCACCGGCUAACUCCGUGCCAGCAGCCGCGGUAAUUC
rnacentral:rRNA from 1 species